GAAUAUUUCUUGGGUGUUGGUGGAUAUUUUGUAUAAUUUUGGCAGCUUCCUACAGUGGAACUCUUAUAGCUACUCUGACGGUGACUAAAGAGACGCUGCCAUUUAAUUCAUUGUCAGAACUGGUUAAUCAAGAUGACUAUAUAUGGGGAACAUCAGCACAGACUCUCUUUAUCCCUCUAUUCAGUGAAACAACUGAUCCACCUUUCCAACAGAUAUGGAGGGGUAUUGUGAACCAAAAUAAAACGGACCCGAAUAUUCUGAGCGUAGAUUCUCAAGUUCAGUACGAGUUAGCGUUAAACUCGCAUUAUGUUUUCCUGGCGGAAGGGAGUGUUUACGAUAGUUGGAUAUCUCAAAACUGUGAAUUUAAAAUGAUCAAAGAAUCGUAUUUCGCUUUGGAUUAUUCAAUUGGUUUACAAAAUAAUUCUGCUUAUACAAGACAGAUAUCUGAAAUGACAUUAUAUGUACUAGAAAGCAAUUUGAUGGACAUUUGGAAGAAGAAAUGGUGGCCUUCAGGACAGUGUGGUUCCAUGACCCAGACUGUGUCUAAAGUUAUUGGCAUAGCCUCAUUACAGAGUGUGUUUUAUUUUCUUCUAGUUGGUUUAUUUCUGUCAGGAAUAGCUCUGUGUUUUGAGAUAAUAACUGUUUCAUCUAAGAGGAAUAAAACAGUUAUGGAUGUCGAUUAAUUCCAGUGGUGGUUCAUAUGAUGACCAAGUUUCGAGUGGGAUAUCUGGUUGUAAUGAUGUUAUAUUUUAAAUCGCUGGGUUGUUGGUACCUUCUACUGGCGGAUCUGGGCUGGUAAUACCUUCUACUCGCGGAACUGGAAGCCGGACUGUCCCUGUUUUAAAUCGCUGGGUUGUUGGUACCUUCUCUACUGGCGGAACUGGAAGCCGGACGGCCCAUUCUAACCAGUAUGUUCCUCGUUUAAACAAUAUUUUAUUCGAAUACGACAUGAGAAUAUAUAGCACUGAUGUAAUGAAUUUGAAAAGAAACCGAACACUUGAUGCAUAUUCUCAUAGGUGGAGUUCACACUGCUAAUGAACAAAUGGAUAUGUGGUUGAGAUAGAAAAGGGAAUUUAAAUAAAUAUCUUUUUGCACUGCACUGAUACACAUUUAAACUCUUUUGACAAAUUUUAGUUGUUAGAGGCAACAAAAUCCAAUUUUGUUUAAAGAAUAAACUUGGUGUCUAUGAGACAAGCAAUUGGACAUUGUCGAAUUCAAUUAUUUCGCCAAAAUGUAUUUAUUAUCAUUGUUUGAAUGGCCAUUCCUGGUGACGUUUUGGAUCACAUUGUAGGCGUAUACCAGAAGAUCACCGAGAUGUUAUUGAAAAUG